AAGUACCUCCGAAUCCGAGCGCUCCGCGCUCGGAUAGGAGUAACGGCUGGUUGGCACAGCCAGCGGUUCGCCUGUUCGACCGUAGCGAGGGCCGUUUUGCCCCGCGAGAACAGGUCGCUCAAACGAACCGCGAACCCUAAUAUCCCAAACGCGGUCGGGAAUCCCCGUCCUCAGCGAGCGCCCGAAUGGGCGCGAGCAGGGCGGGGA
rnacentral:ncRNA from 1 species